rnacentral:rRNA from 1 species
UACGUAGGGUGCGAGCGUUCAUCGGAAUUACUGGGCGUAAAGUGUGCGCAGGCGGCCAUGCAAGUCGAGUGUGAAAGCCCCGGGCUUAACUUGGGAAUUGCGCUCGAAACUACGUGGCUGGAGUGUGGCAGAGGAAGGUGGAAUUCCACGUGUAGCGGUGAAAUGCGUAGAGAUGUGGAGGAACACCAAUGGCGAAGGCAGCCUUCUGGGCCAACACUGACGCUCAUGCACGAAAGCGUGGGGAGCAAACAGG